GAUGAAGAACGUAGCGAAACGCGAUAAGUAAUGUGAAUUGCAGAAUCCAGUGAAUCAUCGAAUCUUUGAACGCACAUUGCGCCCGCCAGCAUUCUGGCGGGCAUGCCUGUUCGAGCGUCAUUUCAACCCUCGACCUCCCCUUGGGGAGGUCGGCGUUGGGGACCGGGAGCACACCGCCGGCCCUGAAAUGGAGUGGCGGCCCGUCCGCGGCGACCUCUGCGCAGUAAUACAGCUCGCACCGGGACCCCGACGCGGCCACGCCGUAAAACACCCAACUUCUGAACGUUGACCUCGAAUCAGGUAGGACUACCCGCUGAACUUAAGCAUAUCAAUAAGCGGAGGA
rnacentral:misc_RNA from 1 species